AGGGAUGUAGCGCAGCUCGGUAGCGCAUUUGUUUUGGGUACAAAAUGUCACGGGUUCAAAUCCUGUCAUCCCUA
rnacentral:tRNA from 2 species